ACUCCUACGGGAGGCAGCAGUGGGGAAUUUUACGCAAUGGGGGAAACCCUGACGUAGCGACACCGCGUGAGCGAAGAAGCCCUUUGGGGUGUAAAGCUCUGUCAGCUGGAACGAAAACAAUGACGGUACCAGCAGAGGAAGCAUCGGCUAACUACGUGCCAGCAGCCGCGGUAAGACGUAGGAUGCGAGCGUUGUCCGGAUUUAUUGGGCGUAAAGAGUUCGUAGGUGGUUUGUUAAGUUUGGUGUUAAAGAUCGGGGCUCAACCCUGGGACUGCACUGAAUACCGGCAGACUCGAGUGUGGUAGAGGCUAGUGGAAUUCCCAGUGUAGCGGUGAAAUGCGUAGAUAUUGGGAAGAACACCGGUGGCGUAGGCGACUAGCUGGGCCAUAACUGACGCUGAGGAACGAAAGCCAGGGGAGCGAAUGGGAUUAGAAACCCGAGUAGUCCCAUGAU
rnacentral:rRNA from 1 species